UGUUCUGCAUAAUAGAUGGUCCCUGAUCGAUUAGGGUUUUCAUUUUUGUUGUUCUUCAUUCAAACAUGGAUUCUUUUGGGCCGUAUUCGUAGAUACGAUACUUUUGAUUUAUCCAUGUUAAUAAUCUUCUUGGUUUUUGAUUUAUCCAUGUUAAUAAUCUUCUUGGAUCUGUUGGCAGGUCCGCAAAUCGAGCUGCUUGGAAUUUCCCAAUGCAAAAUUAGCUGGAAAACCAGCUAAUUGAUUCCCCUCUCUGAAUAUUAGGUGACGACAGCUAAUAAUUGCGGUGGAAUACUGAUAACUAAUGAGUGGUGGUUAAUAGUGACGGUGGUCAAUAUAUAGUGGUGCACAAUGACGGGGAUUGCUGGCUAUAAUGGUGGUUGGUGGUGAUAAUUGUAAAUGGUGGUUAAUGUGACGAUGACUAAUUGUGUUGAUUGAUGAUAAUGAUGGUUGUGGCUGAG